AUCGACCUAGUAUAAGAGACACACCAACGUACGUACACUCAUAUGUGUUAGAGGCACUUUCAGUUUGGCAUUCAUUCAGUUCACAAAGAGAUCCAUUUAAAGACUUUACAACGUACGUACACUCAUAUGUGUUAGAGGCACUUUCAGUUUGGCCUUCAUUCAGUUCACAAAGAGAUCCAUUUAAAGACUUUACAGAAGAAAAAUGACAGGAUGAAAACUGUGCCUCGAGGAGAUUAAACUGGAAGCAGAAGGUAUCAACCCAGGCCAUGGAGCUGAAUGGAGAAGAAAUGCCUUCCAUCCCUUCCAACCAUUUGGCUUCUCCAGUCCCUCACCUCAAGCAAACCUCAUCAAGGUUUUCCGAUUUCCAGACCCAGGUCCUGAGCAACUAUGUAAAUGCAAACAAACACUGGUGAUGACUGUAAGGGCAAUUAUAGAGAAGAUAUACAAAUUAAGACAGACAAUAUACUUUUUUAAAAAAGAAGAACACUUAUAGCUUCCAGGAUCAAGAGAGUUGAAGUCAUAAAGCCUGCUAGGGAUGAAGAAAAGACAAGACCUUUCCACUAUUACCCUUAAUUCCUCAAUAAAUCAGUUUCUCAACAUGAAUGGUUAUAUUCCUGUUCUAUGGGGCAAAUGGCAAUAGCUUCCUCUAUGGACAAAGACACCAUGAAACCUUCCCAGGACAUCUGCAUCCAACCUUGUUCUAUGCUUCGCAGGCACUCUGCCACCCCAAAGAUUUUCCAUUAUCUGACAUAUUUACUGCUAUAUUUUCAGAGCACAAGCAUUAAAGAAGUUGUUUGGUUUUUUGUUUUAAAUAAAUGAAUGAAUCAUCAAGGGCCUAUUGUCUUCUAAUUAUAAACAGUAGAGUGACUGCUGCACCUGCCAUUAGUUAAUGAUUUCCUAAAAAUGAAGGCAGAGGUUUCCUUUUGGAGUUUUCUGGCAGAAUUACCAGGACUUCUUUCCUUUAUUGACUCUUUUGCAUAGGACAAAAGUCAAUAAUAAAGGCAAUUACUCUCUCACCUUCAUGAAAAUACCACACCUUUGGCAUUAUAGUGAGUUGGAAGAAAAUGUAUUAAAAACAAACAUGAUAAUGUCAAUGGCCUAAAAAAUAUCUUUUCUUGACACCAACAUUCUGGAAUAUGCAGGAUUUAUGAGUUUUCUAUAGCUUCUAACUACAUUUUUCUUUCUUAAUACCCUAUAAUCUUCCACCCAUUGCACUUGAAAUCCAUCUCUGUCAUAUUCUCUACUGUAUUGCCAAUGCCUAGAAUGCCUAGAACAAUACUUGGAAGAUAGUAGGUGCUCAUUAAAUAUUUGUGGACUUCCUAGGUUACAGAAGUACCCUUUGGUCUCCACUUGCUCUCCCUCUGACCUACUCUGUACAACACCCUCCAAGACUUAUCAUCUGGAAAGACCAGUUUCGUUGAGUCCCUCUCCAACCAAAAUCUCAACAGAGUCUGCUGCCUUUGACAACUGCAUGCACAGCCAUUAACUGUUACUUUCAAGAUCCUCUCUGUCUUCACUGUAUCUCACCUUUCUAGCCAGUGCUGCUAUACUAACUUCAAACACACACUUUCUGUUCCCAUCAUGCUUCCUCAGUGUCUGUUCCCCAAUCUCCACUCUUGUCAUAUUAUGUGUAUAUUUGAAUCUUCAGGACUGCUCAUCCUCGA
rnacentral:lncRNA from 1 species